GCCGACGUAGCUCAGGGGUAGAGCAGCUGAUUCGUAAUCAGCAGGUCGUGAGUUCAAUUCUCACCGUCGGCUCCA
rnacentral:tRNA from 1 species